GCAGGUGCGAAAGCAGGUCAUAGUGAUCCGGUGGUUCUGAAUGGAAGGGCCAUCGCUCAACGGAUAAAAGGUACUCCGGGGAUAACAGGCUGAUACCGCCCAAGAGUUCAUAUCGACGGCGGUGUUUGGCACCUCGAUGUCGGCUCAUCACAUCCUGGGGCUGAAGUAGGUCCCAAGGGUAUGGCUGUUCGCCAUUUAAAGUGGUACGCGAGCUGGGUUUAGAACGUCGUGAGACAGUUCGGUCCCUAUCUGCCGUGGGCGCUGGAGAACUGAGGGGGGCUGCUCCUAGUACGAGAGGACCGGAGUGGACGCAUCACUGGUGUUCGGGUUGUCAUGCCAAUGGCACUGCCCGGUAGCUAAAUGCGGAAGAGAUAAGUGCUGAAAGCAUCUAAGCACGAAACUUGCCCCGAGAUGAGUUCUCCCUGACUCCUUGAGGGUCCUGAAGGAACGUUGAAGACGACGACGUUGAUAGGCCGGGUGUGUAAGCGCAGCGAUGCGUUGAGCUAACCGGUACUAAUGAACCGUGAGGCUUAACCUUACAACGCCGAAG
rnacentral:rRNA from 1 species